UUAAGUUAUUAAGGGCGCACGGUGGAUGCCUUGGCACUAGAAGCCGAUGAAGGACGUUACUAACGACGAUAUGCUUUGGGGAGCUGUAAGUAAGCUUUGAUCCAGAGAUUUCCGAAUGGGGAAACCCAGCAUGAGUUAUGUCAUGUUAUCGAUAUGUGAAUACAUAGCAUAUCAGAAGGCACACCCGGAGAACUGAAACAUCUUAGUACCCGGAGGAAGAGAAAGAAAAUUCGAUUCCCUUAGUAGCGGCGAGCGAAACGGGAAGAGCCCAAACCAACAAGCUUGCUUGUUGGGGUUGUAGGACACUCUAUACGGAGUUACAAAGGACGACAUUAGACGAAUCAUCUGGAAAGAUGAAUCAAAGAAGGUAAUAAUCCUGUAGUCGAAAAUGUUGUCUCUCUUGAGUGGAUCCUGAGUACGACGGAGCACGUGAAAUUCCGUCGGAAUCUGGGAGGACCAUCUCCUAAGGCUAAAUACUCUCUAGUGACCGAUAGUGAACCAGUACCGUGAGGGAAAGGUGAAAAGCACCCCGGAAGGGGAGUGAAAUAGAACCUGAAACCGUGUGCUUACAAGUAGUCAGAGCCCGUUAAUGGGUGAUGGCGUGCCUUUUGUAGAAUGAACCGGCGAGUUACGAUUUGAUGCAAGGUUAAGCAGUAAAUGUGGAGCCGUAGCGAAAGCGAGUCUGAAUAGGGCGUUUAGUAUUUGGUCGUAGACCCGAAACCAGGUGAUCUACCCUUGGUCAGGUUGAAGUUCAGGUAACACUGAAUGGAGGACCGAACCGACUUACGUUGAAAAGUGAGCGGAUGAACUGAGGGUAGCGGAGAAAUUCCAAUCGAACCUGGAGAUAGCUGGUUCUCUCCGAAAUAGCUUUAGGGCUAGCCUCAAGUGAUGAUUAUUGGAGGUAGAGCACUGUUUGGACGAGGGGCCCCUCUCGGGUUACCGAAUUCAGACAAACUCCGAAUGCCAAUUAAUUUAACUUGGGAGUCAGAACAUGGGUGAUAAGGUCCGUGUUCGAAAGGGAAACAGCCCAGACCACCAGCUAAGGUCCCAAAAUAUAUGUUAAGUGGAAAAGGAUGUGGCGUUGCCCAGACAACUAGGAUGUUGGCUUAGAAGCAGCCAUCAUUUAAAGAGUGCGUAAUAGCUCACUAGUCGAGUGACACUGCGCCGAAAAUGUACCGGGGCUAAACAUAUUACCGAAGCUGUGGAUUGUCCUUUGGACAAUGGUAGGAGAGCGUUCUAAGGGCGUUGAAGCAUGAUCGUAAGGACAUGUGGAGCGCUUAGAAGUGAGAAUGCCGGUGUGAGUAGCGAAAGACGGGUGAGAAUCCCGUCCACCGAUUGACUAAGGUUUCCAGAGGAAGGCUCGUCCGCUCUGGGUUAGUCGGGUCCUAAGCUGAGGCCGACAGGCGUAGGCGAUGGAUAACAGGUUGAUAUUCCUGUACCACCUAUAAUCGUUUUAAUCGAUGGGGGGACGCAGUAGGAUAGGCGAAGCGUGCGAUUGGAUUGCACGUCUAAGCAGUAAGGCUGAGUAUUAGGCAAAUCCGGUACUCGUUAAGGCUGAGCUGUGAUGGGGAGAAGACAUUGUGUCUUCGAGUCGUUGAUUUCACACUGCCGAGAAAAGCCUCUAGAUAGAAAAUAGGUGCCCGUACCGCAAACCGACACAGGUAGUCAAGAUGAGAAUUCUAAGGUGAGCGAGCGAACUCUCGUUAAGGAACUCGGCAAAAUGACCCCGUAACUUCGGGAGAAGGGGUGCUCUUUAGGGUUAACGCCCAGAAGAGCCGCAGUGAAUAGGCCCAAGCGACUGUUUAUCAAAAACACAGGUCUCUGCUAAACCGUAAGGUGAUGUAUAGGGGCUGACGCCUGCCCGGUGCUGGAAGGUUAAGAGGAGUGGUUAGCUUCUGCGAAGCUACGAAUCGAAGCCCCAGUAAACGGCGGCCGUAACUAUAACGGUCCUAAGGUAGCGAAAUUCCUUGUCGGGUAAGUUCCGACCCGCACGAAAGGCGUAACGAUUUGGGCACUGUCUCAACGAGAGACUCGGUGAAAUCAUAGUACCUGUGAAGAUGCAGGUUACCCGCGACAGGACGGAAAGACCCCGUGGAGCUUUACUGUAGCCUGAUAUUGAAAUUCGGCACAGCUUGUACAGGAUAGGUAGGAGCCUUUGAAACGUGAGCGCUAGCUUACGUGGAGGCGCUGGUGGGAUACUACCCUAGCUGUGUUGGCUUUCUAACCCGCACCACUUAUCGUGGUGGGAGACAGUGUCAGGCGGGCAGUUUGACUGGGGCGGUCGCCUCCUAAAAGGUAACGGAGGCGCUCAAAGGUUCCCUCAGAAUGGUUGGAAAUCAUUCAUAGAGUGUAAAGGCAUAAGGGAGCUUGACUGCGAGACCUACAAGUCGAGCAGGGUCGAAAGACGGACUUAGUGAUCCGGUGGUUCCGCAUGGAAGGGCCAUCGCUCAACGGAUAAAAGCUACCCCGGGGAUAACAGGCUUAUCUCCCCCAAGAGUUCACAUCGACGGGGAGGUUUGGCACCUCGAUGUCGGCUCAUCGCAUCCUGGGGCUGUAGUCGGUCCCAAGGGUUGGGCUGUUCGCCCAUUAAAGCGGUACGCGAGCUGGGUUCAGAACGUCGUGAGACAGUUCGGUCCCUAUCCGUCGUGGGCGUAGGAAAUUUGAGAGGAGCUGUCCUUAGUACGAGAGGACCGGGAUGGACAUACCUCUGGUGUACCAGUUGUCGUGCCAACGGCAUAGCUGGGUAGCUAUGUGUGGACGGGAUAAGUGCUGAAAGCAUCUAAGCAUGAAGCCCCCCUCAAGAUGAGAUUU
rnacentral:rRNA from 1 species